UGGCGGCCUUAGCGCGGUGGUCCCACCUGACCCCAUGCCGAACUCAGAAGUGAAACGCCGUAGCGCCGAUGGUAGUGUGGGGU
rnacentral:rRNA from 5 species